rnacentral:misc_RNA from 1 species
GGGAUUCGUCCAUACUCUCGGUAAAGUUUGGAAGACCGCGACUGAUCCUGAAAGGGAAUGAAUGGUAAAAAUAGCAUGUCGUAUCAACGGAAAGUUCUGAAAAUAUUUAAUUGUUCCUAGAUGGGUAUAAAACUGUGUUAGAAUUCUUGGAACGGAACAAAAUAAAGUUGGGUCGAAUGAAUAAAUGGAUAAGGCUGCGGCUUCAAUUAAAUUAUAGGGAAAGAAAAAGCAACGAGCUUUUGUUCUUAAUUUGAAUGAUUCCCGAUCUAAUUAGACGUUAAAAAUUUAUUAGUGCCUGGUGCGGGAAGGGUUUCUUGUCCCAUGAGUGUGUUCUCAAUUUUUUUAAUGAAUCCUAACUAUUACCAUUUUCGAUUAUGGAGAUGUGUGUAGAAGAAACAGUAUAUUGAUAAAGAAAGUUUUUUCCGAAGUCAAAAGAGCGAUUAGGUUGAAAAAAUAAAGGAUUUCUAAACAUCUUAUUAUCCUAUAACACUAUAACAUAGACCAAUUAAAUGAAACGAAAAAAAAAAAAGAGAUGAUAGAGAAUCCGUUGAGAAGUUUACCUGUAUUCAAGGUAUCUAUUCUUACUACAAUACUUUGUUUUAACUGUAUCGCACUAUGUAUCAUUUGAUAACCCUCAAAAUCUUCCAUCUUUUGUUCAAAUCGAAUUUCAAAUGGAAGAAAUCCACAGAUAUUUACAGCCGGAUAGCUCGC